rnacentral:rRNA from 1 species
GACGAACGCUGGCGGCGUGCUUAACACAUGCAAGUCGAACGGAAAGGCCCUGCUUUUGUGGGGUGCUCGAGUGGCGCACGGGUGAGUAACACGUGAGUAACCUGCCCUUGACUUUGGGAUAACUUCAGGAAACUGGGGCUAAUACCGGAUAGGAGCUCCUGCUGCAUGGUGGGGGUUGGAAAGUUUCGGCGGUUGGGGCUGGACUCGCGGCUUAUCCGCUUGAUGGUGGGGUAGUGGCUUACCAAGGCUUUGACGGGUAGCCGGCCUGAGAGGGUGACCGGCCACAUUGGGACUGAGAUACGGCCCAGACUCCUACGGGAGGCAGCAGUGGGGAGUUUUGCACAAUGGGCGGAAGCCUGAUGCAGCAACGCCGCGUGCGGGAUGACGUCCUUCGGGGUGUAAACCGCUUUCGCCUGUGACGAAGCGUGAGUGACGGUAAUGGGUAAAGAAGCACCGGCUAACUACGUG